CAGUCGCCGCGGGAACACGGAGGGGGCUAGCGUUGUUCGGAAUUACUGGGCGUAAAGCGCACGUAGGCGGCUUGGUAAGUUAGAGGUGGAAGCCCGGAGCUCAACUCCGGAAUUGCCUUUAAGACUGCCGAGCUAGUAGGUGAGAGAGGUAAGUGGAACUCCUAGUGUAGAGGUGAAAUUCGUAGAUAUUAGGAAGAACACCAGUGGCGAAGGCGGCUCACUGGCUCGGAACUGACGCUGAGGUACGAAAGCGUGUGGAGCAAACAGGAUUAGAUACCCCAGUAGUCCCUGUCUCUUAUAC
rnacentral:rRNA from 1 species